rnacentral:rRNA from 1 species
GACGAACGCUGGCGGCGUGCCUAAUACAUGCAAGUUGAGCGCUGAAGGUUGGUACUUGUACCAACUGGAUGAGCAGCGAACGGGUGAGUAACGCGUGGGGAAUCUGCCUUUGAGCGGGGGACAACAUUUGGAAACGAAUUCUAAUACCGCAUAAAAACUUUAAACACAAGUUUUAAGUUUGAAAGAUGCAAUUGCAUCACUCAAAGAUGAUCCCGCGUUGUAUUAGCUAGUUGGUGAGGUAAAGGCUCACCAAGGCGAUGAUACAUAGCCGACCUGAGAGGGUGAUCGGCCACAUUGGGACUGAGACACGGCCCAAACUCCUACGGGAGGCAGCAGGAGGGAAUCUUCGGCAAUGGACGAAAGUCUGACCGAGCAACGCCGCGGGAGGGAAGAAGGGUGUCGGAUCGUAAAACUCUGUUGGUAGAGAAGAACGUUGGUGAGAGUGGAAAGCUCAUCAAGUGACGGUAACUACCCAGAAAGGGACGGCUAACUACGUG